GCUAAUCGGACGCAGGCCCCUCCCGAAGCGCCUUGCGGCUUUGGUCGUUUGAACGAACAUACGACCACAUGCGGUAUUAGCCACCCUUUCGGGCAGUUAUUCCCCACUUCGGGGCAGGUCACCCACGCGUUACUCAGCCGUCCGCCACUAGCGACUCGGGCAAGCCCGAGUCACCCGUUCGACUUGCAUGUCUCAUGCACGCCGCCAGCGUUUAUCCUGAGCCAGGAUCAAACUCUAAUCUAGAUGCAUCGCGAGUCAGC
rnacentral:rRNA from 1 species